rnacentral:rRNA from 1 species
UAUCCUGCAUCGUGCCAAUUGCCUCACNAUGAAAAAAAUGCGGUAAUCAGAGGAAUUAGGCCCGACUAAAUUCGUCCGGCAGUCNCGGUAAUACAGUAAGGGCAAGCUUAUUCGGAAUUACUGGCGUAAAGGUCCGCAAGCGGCAAGUGUGUUGAAAUGUGAAUCUUUGGGCUUAACCCAAAGCUGCGUUCAAAACUGCUUGUCUAGAGUUUUGAAGAGGAGAACGGAAUUUCUGAAGUAAGGUUGGAAUCUACAGAUAUCAGAAGGAACACCGAAGGCGAAGGCAGUUCUCUGGUCAAAAACUGACGCUGAGGGACGAAAGCUAGGGGAGCAAACGGGAUUAGAUACCCCGGUAGUCCUAGCUGUAAACGAUGUACACUCAAUAUACGAGGUGUAAACUCCUUGUGUGUUCAAGUUAACGCAUUAAGUGUACCGCCUGGGGAGUACAUUCGCAAGAAUGAAACUCAAAGGAAUUGACGGGGGCUCGCACAAGCGGUGGAGCAUGUGGUUUAAUUCGAUGAUACGCGAGAAACCUUACCAGGGUUUGACAUCUAUAGGACCGAUCUCGAAAGAGAUUUUCCUUUCUUCGGAAAGGUCUUUAGACAGGUGUUGCAUGGUUGUCGUCAGUUCGUGUUGUGAGAUGUUGGGUUAAGUUCCGCAACGAGCGCAACCCUUACCUUUUGUUGCUAACAGAUAAUGCUGAGGACUCUAAAGGAACUGCCAGUGAUAAACUGGAGGAAGGUGGGGAUGACGUCAAAUCAUUAGUC